AUUCACUAUACCUUAGUAUUACUGUUAUAAAAUUAUAAUUAGUUUCAGUUUCGGAAGGAUGUUAAUGAGUUAUGUACACAAACUCGCUGCUGGAGAAAAUAGAUAAGCUCCUCCCAACUGAGAGAACAGGAAGUCAGGUCUCCUCCCACCUUCUCCAGGAAAAAGCGGGUCAGUUCCCCAUCCUGCACCUCACACAGCAGACUGCAUGACACAUGAGGCUGAUGAGAGAGUGAGCCUCCAUCCUGCACUCAGUGAGAUUCACACAGUGAACAGUCCAGAUGUUCAGGAGAGAAGACAAACUGCUCAGAAAUGUGAAGAUCUCUUUCUUUGGGUUUAUGCUGUUAAGCCUCAGACAGAGCUCCUCAAUGACCAACGAGCCACCAGCUCUCACUGCUCCAAAUGCUCGGACCAUCCUCCCUACCACACGGUCACUCAGGCUGACAAGCGUUCACCAAACACAUUCAUUAAAGGGGAUUUCAUGGUCCAGCUCAAUUUCACUCAUGCAUACUAAAGCUUAAUGAAGUUAUAUAACCUGGUGUGAAAAUUAAGAAACUGAUUAAUAACAUACCAGAGUUUCUGUAGGUGUGUGAUGUGUCUGAAGAGAAGUCUGGCCCCUCGGAGAGAGAUGGCUCGGGGUUUCAGAGUGAGUUUGACUUUGGAGUCUGAGAGACGUAGCACUUUCCUCACAGCCCUGCACUCACGAGUGGUUAAAACCCAGUCUAUAAUGAAGAUGAAGUCCAAGGCAGCAAAGAAAGCUCUCACCAACUUUGUAUCUUCUGCGCAGUCAACAACUGCUUUACUUAAACGUGGAAUGAACUCUUCUUCACAUCUAAAACAGACAGGAUUAAUGUAAAACUAUAAAUAGGACAUCUUCUAACUUAUUGUUCUUAAAAUUCCAUAAAUAACAUGUUAGAGGUGAUGCAGUGCUGCUAUAAAGUUUGUGAAC
ensembl:lncRNA